rnacentral:rRNA from 1 species
GACGAACGCUGGCGGCGUGCUUAACACAUGCAAGUCGAACGGAAAGGCCCGGCGUUUGUUGGUUGCUCGAGUGGCGAACGGGGGAGUAAAACGUGUGUAACCUGCACUUGACUUUGGGAUAACUUCAGGAAACUCGGGCUAAUACCGGAGAGGAGCUCCUGCUGCAUGGGGGGGGUUGGAAAGUUUCGGCGGUUGGGGCUGGACUCGCGGCUUAUCAGCUUGUUGGUCGGGUAGUGGCUUACCAAGGCUUUGAAGGGUAGCCGGCCUGAGAGGGUGACCGGGCACAUUGGGCCUGAGAUACGGCGCAGACUCCUACGGGAGGCAGCAGUCGAGAAUAUUGCACAAUGGGCGGACGCCUGAUGCAGCAACGUCGCGUGCGGGAUGACGGCCUUCGGGUUGUGAACCGCUUUCGACUGUGACGAGGCGUGAGUGACGGUAAUGGGUAAAGAAGCCCCGGCUAACUACGUG